rnacentral:rRNA from 1 species
AUGAAUGCUGGCGGCGUGUCUACGGCAUGCAAGUCGAACGGGUUCAUCAUUGUAGCAAUACAGUGGUGAGCUAGUGGCAAACGGGUGCGUAACACAUUGGUAACCUGCCUCGCAGUCGGGUAUAAGCCUUCGAAAGAGGGUCUAAUCCCACGAUGGUCUUAAUGGCGUAAAGCCAUUGAGUAAAGUCGCAAGACGCUGCGAGAGGGGCCUAUGGCCUAUCAGCUAGUUGGUGAGGUAAUGGCUCACCAAGGCUAUGACGGGUAGGGGAUGUGAGAGCAUGAUCCCCCUCACUGGAACUGAGACACUGUCCAGACACCUACGGGUGGCUGCAGUCGAGAAUAUUCCCCAAUGGGCGAAAGCCUGAGGGAGCGACGCCGCGUGUGCGAUGAAGGCCUUCGGGUCGUAAAGCACUUUUGCCGAGGAAGAAUCAUGACUGUACUCGGAGAAUAAGAGGUUGCUAACUCUGU